UACAGAGGUCUCAACCGUUGUUCGGAUUUAUUGGGCGUAAAGGGUGCGUAGGCGGUCGCGUAAGUCGGGUGUGAAAUCCCGAGGCUCAACCUCGGAACUGCACUCGAUACUGCGUGACUAGGGUGCUGGAGAGGAGACUGGAAUUUACGGUGUAGCAGUGAAAUGCGUAGAUAUCAGGAGGAACACCGGUGGCGAAGGCGGGUCUCUGGGCCGAUACUGACGCUGAGGAGCGAAAGCGUGGGGAGCGAACAGG
rnacentral:rRNA from 1 species